rnacentral:rRNA from 1 species
GGUGAACGCUGGCGGCGUGCCUAAUACAUGCAAGUCGAGCGAACGGACGAGAAGCUUGCUUCUCUGAUGUUAGCGGCGGACGGGUGAGUAACACGUGGAUAACCUACCUAUAAGACUGGGAUAACUUCGGGAAACCGGAGCUAAUACCGGAUAAUAUUUUGAACCGCAUGGUUCAAAAGUGAAAGACGGUCUUGCUGUCACUUAUAGAUGGAUCCGCGCUGCAUUAGCUAGUUGGUAAGGUAACGGCUUACCAAGGCAACGAUGCAUAGCCGACCAGAGAGGGUGAUCGGCCACACUGGAACUGAGACACGGUCCAGACUCCUACGGGAGGCAGCAGUAGGGAAUCUUCCGCAAUGGGCGAAAGCCUGACGGAGCAACGCCGCGUGAGUGAUGAAGGUCUUCGGAUCGUAAAACUCUGUUAUUAGGGAAGAACAUAUGUGUAAGUAACUGUGCACAUCUUGACGGUACCUAAUCAGAAAGCCACGGCUAACUACGUG